UACAGAGGGUGCAAGCGUUGUUCGGAAUUAUUGGGCGUAAAGGGAGUGUAGGCGGUUCCUUAAGUCUUCUGUGAAAUCUACGGGCUUAGCCUGUAACGUGCAGAGGAAACUGGGGGACUUGAGUGCAGGAGAGAAGAGUGGAAUUCCCAGUGUAGAGGUGAAAUUCGUAGAUAUCGGGAGGAACACCUGUGGCGAAAGCGGCUCACUGGACCACAACUGACGCUGAGGCGCGAAAGCUAGGGGAGCAAACAGG
rnacentral:rRNA from 1 species